GCCUGGGUGGCUCAGUCGGUUGAGCCUCUGACUUCGGCUCAGGUCGUGAUCUCACAGUCUGUGAGUUCAACCCCUGCAUCAGGCU
rnacentral:tRNA from 1 species